UUCCCCUAGUAACUGCGAGUGAAGCGGGAAGAGCUCAAAUUUGAAAUCUGGCGGUCCUUGGCCGUCCGAGUUGUAAUCUAGAGAAGUGCUACCUGUGCUGGACCGUGUACAAGUCUCCUGGAAUGGAGCAUCGCAGAGGGUGAGAAUCCCGUCUUUGACACGGACUGCCAUGUACGUCAUGGUGCGCUCUCGAAGAGUCGAGUUGUUUGGGAAUGCAGCUCAAAAUGGGUGGUAAAUGCCAUCUAAAGCUAAAUAUUGGCGAGAGACCGAUAGCGAACAAGUACCGUGAGGGAAAGAUGAAAAGAACUUUGGAAAGAGAGUUAAACAGUACGUGAAAUUGCUGAAAGGGAAACGCUUGAAGUCAGUCGCGUCGGCCAGAAAUCAGCCUUUGCUUUUGCUUGGUGUACUUUCUUGGUUGAUGGGUCAGCAUCAAUUUCGACCGUCGGAUAAAGUCGUCGGGAAUGUGGCAUCUUCGGAUGUGUUAUAGCCCGGCGUCGCAUACGGUGGUUGGGAUUGAGGAACUCAGCACGCCGAAAGGCCGGGUCUCUCGAGACCACGUCCGUGCUUAGGAUGCUGGCAUAAUGGCUUUAAUCGACCCGUCUUGAAACACGGACCAAGGAGUCUAACAUGCCUGCGAGUGUUUGGGUGGAAAACCCAUACGCAAAAUGAAAGUGAAAGUUGAGAUCCCUUCCUUUGAGGGGGGAGCAUUGACGCCCGGACCAGACCUUUUGCGAAGGAUCCGCGGUAGAGCAUGUAUGUUGGGACCCGAAAGAUGGUGAACUAUGCCUGAAUAGGGUGAAGCCAGAGGAAACUCUGGUGGAGGCUCGUAGCGAUUCUGACGUGCAAAUCGAUCGUCAAAUUUGGGUAUAGGGGCGAAAGACU
rnacentral:rRNA from 1 species